rnacentral:rRNA from 1 species
GUGCCAGCAGCCGCGGUAAUACGGAGGGUGCUAGCGUUGUUCGGAAUCACUGGGCGUAAAGCGCGUGUAGGCGGUCCGCUAAGUCUGGUGUGAAAGCCCGGGGCUCACCCCCGGAAGGGCACUGGAAACUGACGGACUAGAGUCCCGGAGAGGAGGGUGGAAUUCCUGGUGUAGCGGUGAAAUGCGUAGAUAUCAGGAGGAACACCGGUGGCGAAGGCGGCCCUCUGGACGGUGACUGACGCUGAGACGCGAAAGCGUGGGGAGCAAACAGGAUUAGAAACCCCAGUAGUCC